rnacentral:lncRNA from 1 species
UAGAGACUUGUAGGAUUUCUGAAAAGCCUUUCAUUUUAUUAAUACCCUCCCUUUUUUUUUUAAUCCUUUAAAAAUUUGUUUUUGUAAGAGGGAAAAAAAUACAAAUUAAAUACUAGUCCAUUAGCAAAACAUCCUCACCACAAGGGCAGGGUCGCUGGAGUAGCUCUAGCUGAGCAUUUUACCACUCGCGACUGUUGCCUAACCCUGAACCGGCAGUUUCCCAUAUUUUUCUACAGAAUAAUUCCCAGUCAUUUUUCAUUUAAACUCUGGUACGAUUUAUCACAAUGACUAUUUUAUAACAGAAGCUCAAUGUGUUUGACUUGGAAGUGAAUAAUGUCAGUGUGUGUGCGUGCCUGCGUGAAUGCGUGUUCAAGACUGAAAGCACAUGGGCCACCAUCACAUGUGGGCACAGCAUUUCCCAGGUAUCAUGGGCAACGCAAAGAAAACAUUUACACAAGUAGUGCACAGCAUCAAGGAAGCCUAAAAUCAGCCCUCACUGCUUACAAAGGACAAAUCUCGGGGCUAGCCAACAGAUAGACAGAUAAUGGCCACGUGAAACUGGACCCAAGUCUCCAGCAGAUCCUAACUUUAGCACAUGGAGAAUCUGUUUGCUGGUAGUCCACCUUUCCCAGUACUCACUGAGACUGUGUUCUGACCUUGUUUUCACAGGCCCCGGCCAUCUCCACAUAAGUGGGUGGAGGUGUGACAUAAGAGCUGUAUUAAAUAUGACUGUUUAAAAAGUCACACAAAUGGGGCAACUGAAACCUUUUUCAUGUAAUUUCACUUCAAGGUGUUUUGUCCAGAUCGUUAUGGUAUGUUACCGCUUACAACUAACUGAAAUACUCAUUUGCUAAUAGCUAAUUAAUUAAGCUUAUCUAAUGUUUAUUACCCAAAGUUGCCUCCCAGACAAUUGGUCCUCAUUAAAUACCAGUUGAUACAAUCUUCUGUCUUGAACAAGGUUUUGAAGUGGUGGGCUUUGAAUCCCCUGGGGUGAUUUCUAUUUUUAAAGUGCAAAUUCCUGUUCUCCAAUUCUAGUCAGAGCCUCCGGGCCAGACCUUGGAAUUUCAUUCUUUAUUUACAAACUGGGCAGGUGUUUUAUUUAAAUUAUUACACAAAUUAAUAGACUUGAAAUAAUUGAUUAUUAAUAAACGUCUUUAGUGGAUCAGUCCAGUUAAGAAACCGGAGAUGCCAUGUGGGUGUGCUAACCUACACCUGCAGCCCCAGACUGUGGAAGGUGAGACGGAAGGAGCAUGAGUUCAAGGACAGUUGAGGUGAGCAGUGAGACCCUGGAAAGGGAGGAAGGAGGGAGGGAAGAAAGGAAGGAAGGGAAGAAGCAAGCAACCUCUAUAGAGGUGAUCUCCAAAUAUUUUUGCAAUUCCUAUCUAAAUUCAGCAAACCUUGUACCUUAUAUAACAAAUGAUUUUGUUUUAGUAAUUUUUAAUUCUUCAUAAAUUAUUUGGGGCUAGAAAAAUGGCUCAGCAGUUAAGAGCUCUUGGUGCUCCUACAGAAGACUUGGGCUUCGUUACCCGCACCCAAAAGGCAGCUCCCAACUACAUCCCAGUUCCAGGGCAUCCAGCAUCCUCUGGUGUCCUUUGUGGGCACCAGACAUAGAUGGGGUACAUAUAUAUACAUGCACACAAACAGCCAUACACAUAAAAUGAAGAUAAAUCAUUAAGAUACAGUAGGAACAUACAAAAUAAAAGAGCAAGCGAGCUUUUCCUUUUCCUCUUGGCCCGAUUCUCCCCCCACGUGAUCUGGGCCUCUAAGAACUGAUGCUGUUUUGCUUUCAUGGUUCGUAUAUUUCUAUUUAACAAGCCGGGUAAGGGUCACACUCACACUGAUUGAGAACUGCCACUAAAAUAAUGGGCUCGAACUCAUAUUUGAUUAUUAUUAGUAAAACAUCUUCAGUGGAUCAGUCUAGUUAAGAAAUUGGAAAUACCAGCUGUGUGUGCUAACCUAUACCUGUAAUCCCAGACUUGGGAAGUUUAAAUGGAAUGAGUGUGAGUUAUUUAUAUAUAUAUGUAUUUAUAUGUGAAUAUAUAUGUACAUAUAUAUCUUGUCUAUAUAUAUAUAUAUUAUAUCUUCAUAUUUGUAUUUAUUUAUUCUGCAAGUAUUUAAGUGUCUGCAAUAUAUAAUGACCAAAUGACUGAAGUUCUUACAUGAGAUCUAGACUCUAAUAGAUGUUCAAUAAGCUGUAGCAUAAGGCAUGCUACUGACAUGCACUGUAAAGAAAAGUAAAGUAGGAGCAAGGAGCGAGAACUCCAGAGUUUUUCUUACAACUCUUUCUUACACACAGUGGCCAGGAUCAAGUGCUGAUAUUAGACAAAGACUAGAAAAAAUACAAGGAAGUGUGUCUUGGGCAUUGCUCUAAGAGGGGGAAGCCAAGGUCUUCUCACAGUGUGUGUAUAAAUCCACAUUCUCUAACAGGACAAGGUCCCAUCACACAUGCCAUCCCCGCACCUUGCUGAGGGCACCCACCUGUGGUUCGUGUGACAGAUUCUAAAGUCCGCUGUUCAUGUAGCAACAAACCAUCCUCGGUGUUUGUAUUUCCCAGAGCCUCUGUGCCAUGACGUAGCUAUUUACACGUUGCAUGGCGUCUUCUUUAUUUUUAUAUUUAUACGUACUAGAUUAAAAUUCUGUUGAUUAUAUUUCCGUACAUAUUAGAAGCUUAAUAUUGUAGUUUUGUUCCAUAUUUGGUUAAGUUUUUAGAUCCUCUCAGUAAAAUACAGAGUCACUGUUCAAAAAUGCAAGAGCCAGCCAGGUGUGGUGGCUCAUAUCUGUAAUCCCUGCAUUUAGGUGGCUGGACCAGGAGAGUUGCUUUGAAUUCAAGGCCAGUCUGCGCUACAUAAUAAGACAUUUUCUCAAAAACAAAACCGCUGACUUUAUCAUAUGGUAUUCAUUCUAUAUAUAGAUAGAGUAAGAUUUACUUAGUCACUUUUAUUUUAAAUUAGGCCUUUGAAGAAUGCUUAAUCAUGUCUUUAUCAUUAAAACCAAACUGGGGUCCAUGCAAUAAUGGCACAUGCCUUUAGUCCCAGCACCAGGGAGACAGAGGCAGGUGGAGCUGAUCUACAGAGUAAGUUCCAGGUCAGCCAGAAUUCCAGUUCUACACAGAUAAACUCUGUCUCAAAAACAAACAAACAAACAACAACAACAACAAAAGAAACCUUGUCUUUAGUUGUUCAGUUCAAAAAAUUUUUGAGCAGCUUCCUGGACCCCGACAGGCUCUGGUUUGCAGGCUCUCAGUGGCCAGCACUUGUGGUUCUGGCUCAUUCUUCCUGCAAUAGGGGCUUCAACCUGGGCCUGGGACAUGCUCAGCAAACACUCCACCACUGAGCCAGCGCCAGCCUGGGCCGCCAUUUGGGAUUUACUAUUGGGGCCGUUAUGUUAUUCCUUGAAAAUAUUUGACCCAACUUUAUUUUUUUUAAUUAUAAUAUUUCCUCGUUAAAAUUUUUAAUAAUUAUGAAAUGUAUACAAAUCUGUAUCAUACGGGGUUAGCCCACUAUUGAUCUUUUAUGGGUAUGCCUUUCUAUGUGAUUCCAUUCAGUGGGUUACCUAGAGAGAGAGUGGGAUUGCCUCUUAAUUCUUUAGAAUCCAUCUUUUCUUGGGUUUUACCCAGUUCUUCUGGCCUUCUCUGGGUCACCUGACUAAGAGCCAACCCACUGACUCUUUCACUUAACCCUUUGCUUGCCAGUUACUGUAUAACCGCUUGCCAGGUGAAUGGCUUCUGACUAACAGGUGAGAUUGUCCCAAGCCUUGCGGGUCCCUUGUACUUUCCCACUGGCUCCUCCUGGCUGCAGACCUGGCCUGCUCAGCAUAGCGUUUAUGGGGAUGUUUUCCAGGAUUCACGUCUCUCUGUGGGGAACUGAUACAGAAAAUUCUCUUGUUACCAGACCCAGUCAAAGACAUCUUCAGAUUUUCACAGGAAAAAAAAAAAAGAAUUUUUCUCUUUCACAUCUUCUUUAUCCUUCUCCUUGCCCGUUUAUUACCAAAAGCCCCUGGGCUGGGAGCUGGCUUUAGCUGUAGGCCUAUCCCCGGUUUUCCUGUCUUCGAUGCUUAGAGAAAGGCUCCUUUUUUU